CAUUAGAUAACUUAAAGCAAGUAAUGGUCUCUUAAACCACUUAAUAGUAGAAUCGUGCCUACUUCUAAUGA
rnacentral:tRNA from 1 species